rnacentral:rRNA from 1 species
CCUACGGGAGGCUGCAGUGGGGAAUAUUGGGCAAUGGGCGCAAGCCUGACCCAGCAACGCCGCGUGAAGGAAGAAGGCUUUCGGGUUGUAAACUUCUUUUCUGAGGGACGAAGAAAGUGACGGUACCUCAGGAAUAAGCCUCGGCUAACGACGUGCCAGCAGCCGCGGUAAUACGUAGGUGGCAAGCGUUCUCCGGAUUUGUUGGGUGUAAAGGGUGGGUAGGCGGGAAGGCAAGUCAGAUGUGAAAACUCAGGGCUCAACCCUGGGCCUGCAUUUGAAACUGGUUUUCUUGAGUGCUGGAGAGACAAUCGGAAUUCGGGGUGUAGCGGUGAAAUGCGUAGAUAUACGGAGGAACACCAGUGGCGAAGGCGGAUUGCUGGACAGUAACUGACGCUGAGGCGCGAAAGCGUGGGGAGCAAACAGGAUUAGAUACCCCUGUAGUC